rnacentral:lncRNA from 1 species
AUAGAGUUCAAUGAGAGAAAGAGAAAAGCGAAUAUUUGGAUAACUUUUUUUCUUUUUAAUACUUUUUGGAAAAAAACAUUUUGAAAUCAGAAGAAUGAAAGCUUUGAUCUGUAUAUACUAUGUUUGUGAGACCCAGCUCUACCUAAAUACCACUUAACUUUGCCUCAGAAUCAUAGAAGAUUUACAUUCAAAACUAUUUCUUCCUUCUAUGUUUGCUUUUGCUCCCUUGUCUUAGCAUACGACACAGCAGCGCGUCCUUGGCUGUUCAUGAAUUCACAGGGACAAAUACUUUGUAAUAGUGUUCCAUCUUACAGAGAGGUCACAAACCGAUCUUGCUUACUUGGGUGUAAAUCCGGAGAAACUCGGCUGAGCUCAAUAGACUUACUCAGGCCUGAAAUCAAUUAUUGCCGUGCUGUGAGUGAGAUGGAGCCCGGCUCCCGGGCGCAGUUGUGGCACUGAGGUGCAGACGGAGCGGCGGGGCAGGGGCAGCGCUGGNNNNNNNNNNNNNNNNNNNNGGCCCGGCCCGGCCCGGCCCGGCCCGGGGAGCGACACGGCCGGCGGCCAGCCGGGGACAGCCUCCAUGCCAGCGGCUAGUUGUUAUGCAGCCAUGCAAGAACUGAAACAAAAUGCAGCUUAAAUACUCCUCCCCCAAGCCAGCCCCCGCGAUUAUGCUUCCAAUGAGCGCAGUGGUAGCUGUGGUGUCCCUAUUAACAUUUCGGUCCCUGGCAUCUGCGGGCACUGGCACUGAAGCAGAGCCCAAGGGGAUGCCUGGAAGGCGGCGCUGUGCCAGAGAAUUUAAGCAAAAUGGCACAUAUCUCCCAUCAGCGUCUGAGUCUCAGCUGUUCUCCCAGAGGAACCCCAGUAGUACAGUGGGAUGUUUUGGGGUAGGGAUCUGCACUCUUGAAACCCCUUCCUGCUCUCCAGCUUGCAUUGUCAUUAAUAAAAGGCAGAGGAGAUUAAGAGUUUUGUUCCUUUUGCCAUGCCAGUAUUUUCUCAUAUAGUGACAAGAGGUCUAUAUAAGAAAAAAUAAUACUGCAAGAGACUUUUUAAAUCCUGUUUCAUAUUUACCCACUAGUGAUUUUUUUCCCCUCUGGUAGCACAUGUAAAUAAAUGUGAAGAAAAUAAAUAUGGAAUAGGCA